UACGUAGGGUGCAAGCGUUGUCCGGAAUUAUUGGGCGUAAAGAGCUCGUAGGCGGCUUGUCGCGUCGGCUGUGAAAACCUGGGGCUCAACCCCGGGCCUGCAGCCGAUACGGGCAAGCUAGAAUUCGGUAGGGGAGACUGGAAUUCCGCGUGUAGCAGUGAAAUGCGUAGAGAUGCGGAGGAACACCGAUGGCGAAGGCAGCCCCCUGGGCUGACACUGACGCUCAGGCACGAAAGCGUGGGGAGCAAACAGG
rnacentral:rRNA from 1 species